AUUGAACGCUGGCGGCAGGCCUAACACAUGCAAGUCGAGCGAGCGGCGGACGGGUGAGUAAUGUAUGGGGACUGCCCGAUAGAGGGGGCUAACUCCUGGAAACGGUAUCUAAUACCGCAUACUAUCGGAUAACCCAUAUGGGAUUAGCUAGUAGGUUAGGUAAUGGCUCACCUAGGCGACGAUCCCUAGCUGGUCUGAGAGGAUGAUCAGCCACACUGGGACUGAGACACGGCCCAGACUCCUGCGGAGGCAGCAGUGGGGAAUAUUGCACAAUGGGCGCAAGCCUGAUGCAGCCAGUCGGCGUGUAGGAAGAAGGCCCUAGGGUUGUAAAGGACUUUCAGUCGGGAGGCGUUACCGACAGAAGAAGCACCGGCUAACUCCGUGCCAGCAGCCGCGGUAAUUC
rnacentral:rRNA from 1 species